CCUACGGGUGGCAGCAGUGGGGGAUAUUGCACAAUGGGGGGAACCCUGAUGCAGCGACGCCGCGUGGGUGAAGAAGCGCCUCGGCGCGUAAAGCCCUGUCAGCAGGGAAGAAAAUGACGGUACCUGAAGAAGAAGCCCCGGCUAACUACGGGCCAGCAGCCGCGGGAAUACGUAGGGGGCAAGCGUUAUCCGGAUUUACUGGGGGUAAGGGGGGCGCAGGCGGGGAUGAAGGCCAGGAGUGAAAGCCCGGGGCCCAACCCCGGGACUGCUCUUGGAACUGCGUGGCUGGAGUGCAGGAGGGGCAGGCGGAAUUCCUGGUGUAGCGGUGAAAUGCGUAGAUAUCAGGAGGAACACCGGUGGCGAAGGCGGCCUGCUGGACUGCAACUGACGUUGAGGCCCGAAAGCGUGGGGAGCAAACAGGAUUAGAUACCCCAGUAGUC
rnacentral:rRNA from 1 species